GUAGUGCGAGUGCAGGGCGGCGGGGGGAGACAGAGGGGGACACGGGGUUUGGGAUUGACUGGGGGUAAAGCGAGUGUAGGCGGGAGGGAAUGUCGGGUGUGAAAUCCCGUGGCUCAACCACGGAAGUGCACCCGAAACUGCGCAGCGUGAGUCUCAGAGAGGAAGGCGGAAUGCUUGGUGUAGAGGUGAAAUUCGUAGAUAUCAAGCGGAACACCGGUGGCGAAGGCGGCCUUCUGGACGAUGACUGACGCUGAGACGCGAAAGCGUGGGGAGCAAACAGGAUUAGAUUCCCCUGUAGUC
rnacentral:rRNA from 1 species